rnacentral:misc_RNA from 1 species
UUUCCGUAGGUGAACCUGCGGAAGGAUCAUUAUCGAAUGAAUGUAGAGUUUGGUUGUAGCUGGUCUUUCCAAAGACAUGUGCACGCCUUUCUCUUUCAUCCACACACCCCUGUGCACUUGUGAGACGGAGGCUUGUUUCUCUUUCAUUAGAGGACGUGUUUCCGUCUGCUAAACAUAAAAUCAUAUUUAAUUAAAUCUGAAUGUAAUUGAUGUAACGCAUCUAAUACAAAGUUUCAACAACGGAUCUCUUGGCUCUCGCAUCGAUGAAGAACGCAGC